UAUCUUGAGAUUUCUUCAAAUCUUCGAUUUUCAUCGAAAUUCUAAUUCGGGAAUAGCCCAUAUUGCUUUAGCGCUAUAAAUUUCAGAAGCAUGAAAAAUUUUGGCAGUUCUAUAUGAACCAGCACUUAAAACCAGCCACAAGAUGUUGGCAUUUUGUUGGCACUUUGUGUAGUAUUCUGUGCUUGGUAUACUCAAUGUUCUUCAACUGGCGGUGCCUAAUUUUCGUGCCCUUAUUUGGGUAUUGUUUGCCGUGGUAUAGCCAUUUCUUUGUUGAAAAGAAUGUUCUAGCAACUUUUGGGCAUCCCUUCUCGUCUCUACUAUGUGAUUGGAAGAUGUUUGGCCUAAUGCUUGGUCAAAUGGAUAGAGAAAUCAAGAGGCUUGGUAAGGGGCCUAUCUUGCAAACCUACGGAUUUUCUGAUUUUAGUUUGUUUAGAAGACGUAGUUUUAAUAGCAAGUGAAUCUUUUUCAAUUUUGUUUGAACUUUCUAUAUUGCCUUUUCUGUUCCUUUUUUUAUGGUCUUCACCAUUACUGCAAUCACACCACCACCAACACCAUCAUCACUAACACAACAACGCACCAGAGACAUAUCUUUGCACACCACCACACACAUGUACACACUAUCACAUAAAGAUCCGCAUCACAUAUUUAGCCUUCAAUCGUCACCAAAGCCUUUGAACUCAUCCAUCACCAUCGAUAAAAAAAAAUCCCCAACACCUACUCACCUUUGAUUGGAGGCUCAGCCCCUCAUGUAGGCCCACAUCCUAAAAUCAGCAAGGACUAUUUACAAGUUCGUAUUUUUCC
rnacentral:lncRNA from 1 species